AUUGAACGCUGGCGGCAUGCCUUACACAUGCAAGUCGAACGGCAGCACGGGAGCAAUCCUGGUGGCGAGUGGCGAACGGGUGAGUAAUAUAUCGGAACGUGCCCAGUCGUGGGGAUAACGUAGCGAAAGCUACGCUAAUACCGCAUACGAUCUAUGGAUGAAAGCGGGGGAUCGCAAGACCUCGCGCGAUUGGAGCGGCCGAUAUCAGAUUAGGUAGUUGGUGAGGUAAAGGCUCACCAAGCCGACGAUCUGUAGCUGGUCUGAGAGGACGACCAGCCACACUGGGACUGAGACACGGUCCAGACUCCUACGGGAGGCAGCAGUGGGGAAUUUUUGGACAAUGGGCGCAAGCCUGAUCCAGCAAUGCCGCGUGCAGGAUG
rnacentral:rRNA from 1 species